rnacentral:rRNA from 1 species
AACGAACGCUGGCGGCGUGGAUAAGACAUGCAAGUCGAACGAGAGAAUUGCUAGCUUGCUAAUAAUUCUCUAGUGGCGCACGGGUGAGUAACACGUGAGUAACCUGCCCCCGAGAGCGGGAUAGCCCUGGGAAACUGGGAUUAAUACCGCAUAGUAUCGAAAGAUUAAAGCAGCAAUGCGCUUGGGGAUGGGCUCGCGGCCUAUUAGUUAGUUGGUGAGGUAACGGCUCACCAAGGCGAUGACGGGUAGCCGGUCUGAGAGGAUGUCCGGCCACACUGGAACUGAGACACGGUCCAGACACCUACGGGUGGCAGCAGUCGAGAAUCAUUCACAAUGGGGGAAACCCUGAUGGUGCGACGCCGCGUGGGGGAAUGAAGGUCUUCGGAUUGUAAACCCCUGUCAUGUGGGAGCAAAUUAAAAAGAUAGUACCACAAGAGGAAGAGACGGCUAACCCUGUGCCAGCAGCCGCGGUAAUACAGAGGUCUCAAGCGUUGUUCGG